AUGAAAUUCAGUCCAGAUAAGAAGGGGUUGGUGCCAAAUGGACAGGGGAAGGAACCUGAAAGUAUACUGAAAGACAAUUGCUGAUGAAGCAGCAGCACAUGUUGGGGAACAAUGCCUUUGAAAGCAUUACUGCCAGUGAUGAGACAGAAGAAUUGGAUUGCAUCUAGCAGUGGGAACAGAAAGAAACAGAGAUAUAGCUUAGUGCAUCAACCAGGCUUCCAGGAGUCAGCAACUAGAGCAAUAUUAUGAUGGUCCUGUCAGUAAAAUUCAGAGACUCAUCUGUGUCCAGGAUGGGAGGCCCAGGCCUUUGUUUCCACUGGAAAUUCAAUCAUGC